GCAAAAUGACUCCGUAACUUUGGGAGAAGGAGGGUCUUGACAGGUGAAGGGGCGAGCCUCCGGAGCCUGACGAGACCGCAGAGAAACGGCCCUACUGACUGUUUACCAAAAACCCAUGUCUCUGCUAAAGCGAAAGCUGAAGUAUAAGGGCUGACACCUGCCCAGUGCCGGAAGGUUAAAGGGAGAGGUUAGCGCAAGCGAAGCUUUGAACUGAAGCCCCGGUGAACGGCGGCCGUAACUAUAACGGUCCUAAGGUAGCGAAAUUCCUUGUCGGGUAAGUUCCGACCCGCACGAAUGGUGUAACAAGUGGGGCGCUGUCUCAACGAGGGACCCGGCGAAAUUGAAAUAGGCGUGGAGAUGCGUCUUACCCGCAGCAGGACAAAAAGACCCCGUGGAGCUUUACUGCAGCCUGAUAUUGAGCUAGGGCUUUGUCUGUGUAGGAUAGGUGGGAGACUGGGAAGCUGGGGCGCUAGCCUCGGUGGAGUCAACGUUGAAAUACCACCCUGAUUGAGUUUUGGCCCUAACCCUCAGCCGUGAUCCGGCGAGGGGACAGUUUCAGGUGGGCAGUUUGACUGGGGCGGUCGCCUCCCAAAAGGUAACGGAGGCGCCCAAAGGUUCCCUCAGGCUGAAUGGAAACCAGCCCAAGAGUGUAAAGGCACAAGGGAGCUUGACUGCGAGACACACAGGUCGAGCAGAGACGAAAGUCAGGCUUAGUGAUCUCACGACUCCGCGUGGAAGGGUCGUGACUUAUCGGAUAAAAGCUACCCCGGGGAUAACAGGCUAGUCUUGCCCAAGAGUUCACAUCGACGGCAAGGUUCGGCACCUCGAUGUCGGCUCGUCGCAUCCUGGGGCCGGAGAAGGUCCCAAGGGUUGGGCUGUUCGCCCAUUAAAGCGGUACGCGAGCUGGGUUCAGAACGUCGUGAGACAGUUCGGUCUCUAUCCGCUGUGGGCGCAGGUGACUUGAGAGGAGCUGUCCCUAGUACGAGAGGACCGGGAUGGACAAACCGCUGGUGUGCCAGUUGUACCGCCAGGUGCAUAGCUGGGUAGCCACGUUUGGCAGGGAUAACCGCUGAAAGCAUCUAAGUGGGAAGCCCGCCUCAGGAUAAGGUCACCCACUGGGAAACCAGGUAAGACCCCUGGAAGACCACCAGGUAGAUAGGCGGCAUGUGUACAGGCAGCAAUGUCUUGAGCAAAGCCGUACUGAUGGUCGAGGGCUUAAUCAC
rnacentral:rRNA from 1 species